UAGAAAAGGAGAGACAAGUUUGAGACAAUGCAAUCUUGUCUCUUGUCUCUUAUAAAAAUGGAGAGAGAAGUUUGCCAGACUGAAACAGAUACAUCAAACUUGCCUCUUGACAGAGGUAGGUCUAAAGCACUAUUCUGGAUAAACCUGGAUUCAGCUCCUCUGACGUGCUGUGAGGCACGACACAGCUGCCGUGCCUCCUUUGGCUAGACCAGCAGGGCGCGAAUGGGGCAUUAAAAAUUGAAAGGCUAACUAGCCAGCAGGCCAGUCAUUGCCGUCUGAUGUAAACUGAACACAACACAACACAACACAAAACAGAACCAGCAAACUGAAAGAAACGGGCAAAUUUGACAAUUGUAGCGAUUGAAGUGGCUGGUGGAGCACUCGUCUGUCAUCUCUUGGAAGAAUGGAAUGAAUUAAGUUCACCUUAUGACCCAGCAUCUGAAUGCUCAUCUGUUCUGCCUUUUGAGUGCAAUCAAGUACAGUGGAUAAGGCAUGCAUUCUCCGGCUA